rnacentral:rRNA from 1 species
UGCAAGUCGAGCGGAAACGACACUAACAAUCCUUCGGGUGCGUUAAUGGGCGUCGAGCGGCGGACGGGUGAGUAAUGCCUAGGAAAUUGCCUUGAUGUGGGGGAUAACCAUUGGAAACGAUGGCUAAUACCGCAUAAUGCCUACGGGCCAAAGAGGGGGACCUUCGGGCCUCUCGCGUCAAGAUAUGCCUAGGUGGGAUUAGCUAGUUGGUGAGGUAAUGGCUCACCAAGGCGACGAUCCCUAGCUGGUCUGAGAGGAUGAUCAGCCACACUGGAACUGAGACACGGUCCAGACUCCUACGGGAGGCAGCAGUGGGGAAUAUUGCACAAUGGGCGAAAGCCUGAUGCAGCCAUGCCGCGUGUAUGAAGAAGGCCUUCGGGUUGUAAAGUACUUUCAGUUGUGAGGAAGGGGGUAGUGUUAAUAGCGCUAUCUCUUGACGUUAGCAACAGAAGAAGCACCGGCUAACUCCGUGCCAGCAGCCGCGGUAAUACGGAGGGUGCGAGCGUUAAUCGGAAUUACUGGGCGUAAAGCGCAUGCAGGUGGUUCAUUAAGUCAGAUGUGAAAGCCCGGGGCUCAACCUCGGAACUGCAUUUGAAACUGGUGAACUAGAGUACUGUAGAGGGGGGUAGAAUUUCAG